rnacentral:lncRNA from 1 species
UAAUUUUUCAUUUUAUGUAAAACCCACAAUUUAUUUCAAAUGAAUUGACCUUCUUUGAUGUGAGUUUUUAUAGCUCGUAUUAAAGUGCACGAGUUGAGGCAGAAGAACGAGGCGGAUCUGUUGGCGCAGCUAAGGGAUUUGAAGGCGGAAUUAGCAUUGUUUAGAGUAGCCAAAGCCAUUGUUGGGCAGCCAACAAGCUGUCGAAGAUUAAGGUGGUUAGGCUCUCCAUUGUUCAGGUGUUGACUGUGAAUUCUCAGAAGCUGAAGGCGGCUCUAAGGGAAGCGUACAAGAACAAGAAGUAUUUGCCUCUUGAUCUCCACCCUAAUGUUAUUGUUGCUGGGUUUGUGACUCAAAUUAGAGUGAAUUUUUCUGGAAAUAAAUUGUUUUCUUAUUUUCAUUUUCAUGUGGGAAAAAUUGUUUGAUUUUUAUGGAAACACAUUAUUUUGUUAUUCCACAUUAUUUUUAUCUUUAUGAUAUGUCAUAUACCUAUAAAUAGUAGACUUCUUUUUUAGUUUUGUUCAAGCAAGAAUUGUUGAGUUUUUAUAUUUCACUACAUACUGUCGAUUAAUAAAACGUCUCUUUUUGUUAAUUUCUUUACUUUUAAAUCUUAUUUCUCUUUGCGAUCUUCGUUACUUCAUAUCGCAUCUUUAAUCUCAUUCACUACAAUCUUUUCGAGUCCAACAAGUUAUAUUGGAGUUUGGUUCUUGUUGUGGAUUUGUUGAGGCUUUUCAAAGAUGGCUGCUUUGAAAUGUGAUUUCUGCAAUUAGAUUGAAAUACAAGGUUUUCUUUGUGGCAAGUAAAUAUGAGAGCUAUUUUGGCGCUGUUAAAUUUGAAUGAUGUGUUGUUGGGUUUUGAGAGAAUGCCAGCUAAUUGGACAACGGAGAGAUCAAAAGGCUUUGUCGUUUAUUCAUCUUUAUCUAUCCAACAAUAUUCUGCAGAGUGUCCUGAAGGAGAAAAUAGCAACUGCUUUGUGGUUGAAACUAGAGCAGUUAUGUAUGAUCAAGAGUUUUACCAGUAAACUGGCUCUAAAGCAAAAGCUGUAUUCCCAUCGCAUAGCGGAGGAAGGGUCGUUGGAAGACCAUAUUGCCGUGUUCAAGGAAAUUGUUGCAGAUUUGGAAACGUUGGAGGUUAAGUACAAUGAAAAGAAUCUUGCCUUGAUCAUGUUAUGUUCAUUACUUGCCUUAUAUGCAUUGUUUCGAGAAACCAUUUGUACAAUCGAGAUACUUUGAUUAUAGACGACUUCUAUGAUGCUUUGCACUCAAAUGAAAAGUUGAAGCAUUUAGUUGGAGCUACAUCAAGGAAUGAGGAAGCUCUUGUACUCAUGGUGGUCGACGAAGGGGCAGAUUGAGAGAGAACAACAAUUUGUGUUGCUUCUAUUACCAAAGGAGAGGACACGUAAAGAAGGAUUGUGAUACGUUGCAAGAUAAAGGUAAUUUAGCUACAAAUUAUAGAGGAAAAUUAUGUAAUUCGGAUGUGACUAAUGUUGUCGAGAAUUUUUCGGAAGGUGGAGAUGUUAUGUUGACCGUGGUUUUUGAGAUGGAGUCUAAGUCUGACGAGGAGUGGAUUUUCAAUCAGCAAGUUCGUAUUAUAUGUAUUCCAAUCGAAAUUUGUUUAAGACGUAUGUGACUGUUGAGUAAGGUGGAGUUGUAAUGGGAAACAACCAGUCUUGCCAUAUUACUGGAUCGGUUGAGUCAGAGUAAGGUUGCAGGAUGGAAAGGUCAGAACAAUUAUGUAGGUUCGACAUAUUCCAAAUCUGAAGAGGAAUCUCAUCUCGCUGAGAGCCUUGGAUGAAGGGUAUAAGUUCUCUAGUGAAGGUAGAGUCCUUAGGGUCCAAAGGGGUGUCCAGAUUGUACUUGAGGGACGGAGAAGGUCUCAAUUGUACAUUUUGCAGGGGAGCACAGAGCCAAUUAAGAGACAUUUGGACAAGUUCAGUACCGUGGUGGAUAUACAGUUUGAUAUAGUACCUCUUAUGGCGUGCUUUGAGUUGGUUAAGAACACUACUAGAUGGAGCAUUGAUGAUUCCACUUUGCCACCAAUUUCAGCAAAUACAUUGUAUUCAGUUGUUAGGAUUGGAUUCAUGGAGCGUACACUACUAAAAAGCAGCUUUUCACCAACAAAAAAUUACCAACGAAUUGCAUCUGUUGAUAAUUAAAAUGGAUUAUCCGUUGGUAAAAGUUACUCACUUUUAAUUACGAUAAUUAGCAACGAAUAUUUCAUUGGUAACGAUGAUAUCUUUUUAUCAAUAGAUAUUUCGUGCCUCAUAUAACUAUUUAACAUUUGGAUAUUUCACCAACGGAAUAUUCGUUGGUGAUGUAACGAUUAUUUCCAACGGAUUAUCCAUUGGUAAAAGUAAUUCACUUUCAAUUACAAUAAUUAGCAUUGAUAACGAUAAUAUCUCUUUAUCAAGGGAUAUCUCGUGCCUCAUGUAAUCGUUUAACAUUUGGACAUUUCACCUACGGAUAUUCCGCUGGUGAUUAGAAAUAGAUUAUCCAUUGGUAAAAAUAAUUUACUUAUCCCACAUUGAAAGUUCACAAUAAAGUCUUCGGAGUUGUCCUCUAUAAAUUAAUUUGUGGUCCAAUAAGUGGUUAAAUAAUAUUUUGAUCUUUCAAUUCGGUUGCCUAAAAGUUAAAAAAAUUAGAAUUAUUAAAUAAAUAAUAAUAACAAUAAUAAAUAAAUAAAUAAUUUUUUUUACCAUGCCUCACAUCUAUGUGACUAUUUACACCAUUGAUUUUUACUAAUUGUAGUGGUAGAUAUUUACCAACGGAAAGUCGGUUGGUAUUAGUUGAUAUUUUUACCAACGAAAAUUUCGUUAGUAAAAGAUUCACACUUUACCAUCGAAAAAUUCAUUGGUAAAAUGUUUACUCUUUAUCUACAGCAGGAUUAGUUGGUAACUAUCAGUGACCCUCAAAUUAGCAACGAAUUUGCAUUCCAAAUAUUCCUUUGGUAAAGAGUAAUAGCAACGGAUAUCAAAGUUUUAGAAAGGGAAAAUUCGUGCCUAAAGCCAUAUUUUUUAGUAUGGUAAGUAUGGUGGUGUUAGUAAUGUCUAUAAUGCUUUCGGGUCGUUGAAGGUGACAAUUCUAGUAAGGGACCUUUUGAUCAAGCAUUUGGUAUGGUUUCUGCUAUAGGGUGUGCUUCAACCCUAUUUGGUCAACAGUAAUUCCUUAGUGAAAUUUCGGUAACCUGAGAUUUGGGUUCAGGUAUCACUUGUGGACGCCUUGUAGAGAACAACGAUUUGGUUUGGAGAGUUUUGGUUACUGUGUUGAGGAAAUUGGCUAUUUCGCUACAGAUGAAUUUGAAAUCUUGGAGUUUCGUUCGUUGCAUCGAAAUUUGGGUCAAAGUGGAGAUUGUUGGGUUUGUGACCCAAAUUAGGGUGGAUUUUUUUAGAAAUAAAUUGUUUCCUUAUUUUCAUAUGGAAAAAAAUAUUUUCUUAUCUUUCACGUGAUUUUUAUGGAAACAUAUUAUUUUCUUAUCCCACAUUAAUUUCAUCUUUAUGCUAUGUCAUGUAUCUAUAAACAAUGGUCUUCUCUUUCAAUUUUGUUUAAGCAAGAAUUGUUUAGUUCUUGUAUUUUUCACCAUAUUGUCAAUUAGUAAAACAUCGUGCUUCUGCUAUUAACUCUCUUUGUUAAUUUUUUUUACUUUUAAAUCUUGUUUCUCGUUGUGAUCUUCAUUAAUUCAUAUCGCAUCGUUAAUCUCAUUUACUACAAUCCUUCCGGGUCCAAUAAUGGUUGAAACUCAAUUUCUAUAGAAGUCAACCAAUAACAAGUAGCUAUAAACACAUUCAUUUCCUUAAUUGAUGAUUCUAUUACCAUGCAGGAAAUUACAAGUAAAGGACAUAUAUGAAAGAGAUGAGCUAUAUCAGUUGAGAAGUAGAGACAGAGGAGUGAAGACAAAUUCAGAAAAGAGCUUAGGAAUUGUGACACCUAACCAUGAAGAAGAAAAAAAGAACCAUGGAAGUGGAGGUCAGAAUCAGAGGAAAAAGAGAAGCAGAUUCAGCAAUGAUGGAGGUAAAAAAGAGGGGCAGACAUAGAAAAAGAGGAGAGGAGAAGAAAUUCCAGACCUUGAAGAAAAAGGAUAGAGAGAUAAAGAGAAAGCUGAAAACAAGAUGAGAUAUAGGGAUAUAGAGAGGAAAUAGCAAAAGAAGAGUAGAAACAGUAGAAGAAGAGGAGGAGGAGAAGAAGAAACAGGAGAAACGGACAAGAAGAGGCGGAAACCAGAGGAAGAGGAGACGGAUAGAGGAGAGUUAGCAGCAACAAGACUUGAUUCAAUUCAAUUCAUGCCCUUCAUCAUCUUCCAACAAAAUUAUAUAUAGAACAACCCUUAAAGUAAAGGACUUUGGGCUAGCCCACUAAUAACACAAGCCCAACUAGAUAAAAUAAAAGAUAAAUGGUCCACUUGAGUGAAGUUAGCCAUGACACCCAAGAAGACUCGUGCCAUUCGCAGGUGCCUCACCAAGCAUCAGGUAUCUAGUUAUUAUUAGUUAUUCUGGUGCGCAUUUGUUCAAUUUUUUCUAUAAUGUUGGGUUUCUUGUUUGUUCUUAUGAGUUUUAAGUGUUUAUUGUUAUUAGCUUAUCUGGUGGAGUACAGUUGGCAUUAUAGAUCAUGUGUCAAUAGGAAAUAAACAAUUGAAUAUCCUGAAAAUAACAGGUAUUCUGUAAUGUUUAGUUAGCCUAAACUCACCCUUUUCGGUGUUUAAGUGUUUAUUAUUACCUUAGCUGGUAGAGUAUAUUUGGCAUUGCAAAUCAUGUAGCAAGAGGAAGUCAACGAUUGAAUAUCCCAAAAUUAACAGUUUCUCUAAAAUUUAGUUGGCCUAAACUCGCCCAUUUCUGUCCAUUUGUAUCUUCUCCUCCUUUCUAGUUUGCACUUUAAGUGUUUGUUGUUAUUAGCUUAGCUGGUAGGAAAAUGUAUCUAGCAUUGUAAAUCAUGUGUCAAAAGGAAAUAAACAAUUGAACUGUCUAAAAUUAACAGUUUCGAUCAAAUUAUUGGGAUAAUUGUAGGAGAUUUAGAUGAUGGAUAUUCAAGCAUGAUUACUUAUAUACUGUUUUAUGUCUCCAUGAAUCUAGGAACUUUUGCUUGAAUUUUGUUAUUUGCUCUCUCUCUCUCUCUCUCUCUCUCUUUCAUAUCAUCCUUAGAUCCCAUAGGUUGGAACAUUUACGAUUUGAGUCGUCCUUAUUUAGCCUAUCCUCAUCUUUCUCUGGUUUGCAUUUUGCAGUGUGUGUAGCAACAUAGCAGCUGAAUUGAAGUGAAUGAGUUUCUAUCUCCAAUAACUUUGUUACGUACUAUAAUCUAUAUUUGCUUGGUUUACUAUGAAGUAAGAAUCAUUGUCCUUGUAAAUUGUGAAUAUUGUAACUAUAGUGGAGUGAUUUAUGGGAAUACAAGAAUGUGCAUUUUAAUCUUCUAAUAUAAAACCCUGGUAGUAAAAUCUGAUUGUACUUGUUUUAUAGAUGUUGGGUAUGACUUUUGAUGUGCUUCCAAAUCCAAAUCAGCUAACGUAGGUCUUAUCUUCAAGUUAUGAGCUAUAGUAUUUCAGUCUGCUCCCCAGUUCUUUUUUGAUGUAUUAUUUAUACUAUUUUUGUUUGUGUUUGGGGUGGUGGUCGUGUGUGCAAACGGGAAUCUAUAAAUGUGUAUUGGGAUUCAAUAUAUCCUUGAAUAAUUCCAUUAUUGCAAUGAUGUUCACUUUUUUCUAGUUUCAACUGUAAUACUGCAAUUCCAUGGACUUUUUUAACUGUAAAUGAAUGUCCAGAAAUAUCUUCAAAGGCUAUUAUUCAUAGUUAGAUACAUGUUCAUUGAGUUUAGCAACCGUUAGAUUCAAAAUGCAAGAUCUCACUUGGUUUUCCUUAUCCUCUCUAACACAACUAUCGCAUUGGCUCUUUUCAAACUAUCACAUUAAAACCUGUCUUUCGAGCAUUGAGGCUACAGCAUUCUGAUUUGGAUUUUUCCCCCUUUUCCAUGCAAAUGGUAUACUAGGAUCUAAUUUUUUGUAAUCAACGUUGUUAAUUUUGACUUUUUGAUCUUUUUUCUGUAGGCAUCCUUCGGACUGAAAGGGAGAAAAAGAAAUUGAUGUACUUCCCUACGAGAAAAUACGCAAUCAAAGUUUAAGUUAUUUUGGUACUAUUUCUAUUUAAUCUUGGUGGAUAUUUGCAUUGUUUCAUAAGUUGUUAGCUGAAAUUUUUUAUAUGAUAACUUGAAUUUGAGCAUCAUUAAUCAUUUUCAUCUAAUGAUUAGCAUACGGCACAGAAUGGUUGUGUUUUAUCUCUGUUCUGCGCUUUUGUACACCAAGCAUCCUAAGUCACAAGCUUCGUAAUAGAGGUGAAAACUUGUCAUAUGAUCUAAUAACACAUAUUUUGAGCGGGUGAUGCUCAACUUCUUUUGGAUUUAGGUUGAAAUGGUUUGUUCUUUCAAACAAUCUCAAUUAGCCAUUCCUUGUUCUUAACUUCGAUCAAUAUCUUUUUUUUUUUCAGGUUUAUGCAAAAAUGGUUUCUUGUUUAUUUCGAGAUUUUGGGUUGUUGCGUAUCAUCAUAUGCUAAAAUUGAUUGGUGUUAGGUAAAUUUACUCCUUUUAAUUACUUUUGGUAUGGUUUGAUUUUGGUUUCAUACUUGUAGCCAAUGCACUUGUUGACACACUGAAAAUGCGGCCCAAAUCAAAUAGUCCAGAGAGUGAAGUCCAAUUGGGGAGUCCAGGAUAAAGAUCCAAACAGAAUUAUUGAUAAAUGCAGUGGAAGCCCACGACUACAGUGACAUCAUCGCCCAAGCUUAUAAAACGCUCAGAAUCUGAGCGAAUGGAAUGCCUUACGGUCGCCCAGAGCGAUGGCCUCGUUCUCUCCCAAACCUUCAAAUCGCUCAGGAUCUUAGCAAACAUAAAAUAUUAUGAUUAUCCAGAAUAGCAGUUAUUAAAGCAGUUAUUGAGUAAUCUUAUCACAUUCCACGAUUCAAGGAGCCCAGUUGAAGGUGGUUGAACGACAAAGAGUAAUAGCAUCAGUUAGAGACGGUAGUUCCACGACAAGUUAGCCAACAUAAAGAAAGUGGGUAGUUAUAAAACAAUCAAGCAGUUUCCAAGCGGUUUGUCACGAGGAAGUCAGCAAGGGAAUAUAAAAAGGAAGAGAAGAAUUAGAAUAGAGGACCCCGAAUCAAAUACUCUCAAACAGAGAAUAUGUAAUUUUAAUUUCUUACCUUAAAUUUAAACAUUUCUUUUAAUACUCGUAUGCUUGCACUCAUUGGAGGCAUUCUGUUUAUUUUCAAUUGUAAAUCAUCGCCAAUAAAAUACCCCU